rnacentral:rRNA from 1 species
AUCGCAGUCUGCAACUCGACUGCGUGAAGGUGGAGUCGCUAGUAAUCGCGGAUCAGCAACGCCGCGGUGAAUGCGUUCCCGGGCCUUGUACACACCGCCCGUCAAGUCAUGAAAGUGGGCAGCACCCGAAGACGGUGGCCUAACCCUUGUGGGGGGAGCCGUCUAAGGUGAGGCUCGUGAUUGGGACUAAGUCGUAACAAGGUAAC